UCGUUGAGCGCAUGCAGCUGC
rnacentral:misc_RNA from 1 species